UACGUAGGGUGCAGGCGUUAAUCGGAAUUACUGGGCGUAAAGCGUGCGCAGGCGGUUUGCUAAGACAGGUGUGAAAUCCCCGGGCUUAACCUGGGAACUGCGCUUGUAACUGGCAAGCUAGAGUGUGGCAGAGGGGGGUGGAAUUCCAGGUGUAGCAGUGAAAUGCGUAGAGACCUGGAGGAACACCGAUGGCGAAGGCAGCCCCCUGGGCUAACACUGACGCUCAUGCACGAAAGCGUGGGGAGCAAACAGG
rnacentral:rRNA from 1 species